AUAACGGUCCUAAGGUAGCGAAAUUCCUUGUCGGGUAAGUUCCGACCCGCACGAAUGGCGUAACGAUGGCCACACUGUCUCCUCCCGAGACUCAGCGAAGUUGAAGUGGUUGUGAAGAUGCAAUCUACCCGCUGCUAGACGGAAAGACCCCGUGAACCUUUACUGUAGCUUUGCAUUGGACUUUGAAGUCACUUGUGUAGGAUAGGUGGGAGGCUUAGAAGCAGAGACGCCAGUCUCUGUGGAGCCGUCCUUGAAAUACCACCCUGGUGUCUUUGAGGUUCUAACCCAGACCCGUAAUCCGGGUCGGGGACCGUGCAUGGUAGGCAGUUUGACUGGGGCGGUCUCCUCCCAAAGAGUAACGGAGGAGUUCGAAGGUUACCUAGGUCCGGUCGGAAAUCGGACUGAUAGUGCAAUGGCAAAAGGUAGCUUAACUGCGAGACCGACAAGUCGAGCAGGUGCGAAAGCAGGACAUAGUGAUCCGGUGGUUCUGUAUGGAAGGGCCAUCGCUCAACGGAUAAAAGGUACUCCGGGGAUAACAGGCUGAUUCCGCCCAAGAGUUCAUAUCGACGGCGGAGUUUGGCACCUCGAUGUCGGCUCAUCACAUCCUGGGGCUGUAGUCGGUCCCAAGGGUAUGGCUGUUCGCCAUUUAAAGUGGUACGUGAGCUGGGUUUAAAACGUCGUGAGACAGUUUGGUCCCUAUCUGCAGUGGGCGUUGGAAGUUUGACGGGGGCUGCUCCUAGUACGAGAGGACCGGAGUGGACGAACCUCUGGUGUACCGGUUGUAACGCCAGUUGCAUAGCCGGGUAGCUAAGUUCGGAAGAGAUAAGCGCUGAAAGCAUCUAAGCGCGAAACUCGCCUGAAGAUGAGACUUCCCUUGCGGUUUAACCGCACUAAAGAGUCGUUCGAGACCAGGACGUUGAUAGGUGGGGUGUGGAAGCGCGGUAACGCGUGAAGCUAACCCAUACUAAUUGCUCGUGAGGCUUGACUCU
rnacentral:rRNA from 2 species